GAAAAGGAUGUGUAGUCAUAAUUGACCGAUCCCAAGCCUCGCCCCCUUUUGCUAUGUCACAAUGAGGACUUCGGAGGACCUCGGUCAACCUCGGUCAAUUUUGAA